CUCUCUCUCUCUCUCUCUCUCUCUCUCUCUCUCUCUCUCUCUCUCUCUCUCUCUCUCUCUCUCUCUCUCUCUCGUUUCUGCUUACAACCAGCUAAAAAAGAAGAAGUUGGCGGCUGUCACCAGCCUAGGUUGCCCCUCUGUCUCCUUCCGGCCAAGUAACACCACCCCAAACACCCACUUCGAUCCUUACUGCCCUUUGGACCUCGACAGUCGACGACAAGAGAAAGUAGAUCAAGAUCUGAAGUUAGGGUUUAAUGGCAGCUAGGAUUUUCAGAUGAGGCAUUUCGUGACUAGAAAUCGAGGGUGAGACACUUGCGAUGUACUACACGGCGAAGCUAGGGUUUUUUAAACCCACGACGAGACCUUGGGCAAACCGGAUUCACAACGAACACUACCAUUCCAGCUUUGGGUGGUGGUGGUCGAACGGGGGUGGUGGUAGAUGUUCUUGAGUGCUCUUGAGGAGGAAGAAGAAAAUAGGUAAAAAGAUGUGUGUAGGAUGGAUGAAUGUGUAUGUAUGUGUGUGAGAGAGAGAGAGAGAGUAUUUCCUUUUUUUAUUUCUAUAAUUAAAAAAAUAGAAAAAGAAAAUACAAAGGGCAAAAUCGUCCUUUUAUAAAAAAUUAAACCAAAAUGGACCAAA